AUUGAACGCUGGCGGCAUGCUUUACACAUGCAAGUCGAACGGUAACAGGCCGCAAGGUGCUGACGAGUGGCGAACGGGUGAGUAAUGCAUCGGAACGUGCCCAGUCGUGGGGGAUAACUACUCGAAAGAGUAGCUAAUACCGCAUACGAUCUAUGGAUGAAAGCGGGGGACCGUAAGGCCUCGCGCGAUUGGAGCGGCCGAUGUCAGAUUAGGUAGUUGGAGGGGUAAAGGCUCACCAAGCCAACGAUCUGUAGCUGGUCUGAGAGGACGACCAGCCACACUGGGACUGAGACACGGCCCAGACUCCUACGGGAGGCAGCAGUGGGGAAUUUUGGACAAUGGGCGCAAGCCUGAUCCAGCAAUGCCGCGUGCAGGAAGAAGGCCUUCGGGUUGUAAACUGCUUUUGUACGGAACGAAACGGCUCUGGUUAAUACCCGGGGCUAAUGACGGUACCGUAAGAAUAAGCACCGGCUAACUACGUG
rnacentral:rRNA from 1 species